AUUAUCAUUGCUGGAUUAUAUGGUAAGUGUAUAUUUAAUUUUAUAAGAAACUGCUAAACUGUCUUCCAGAGUGGCUGUACCAUUUUGCCUUCCCAGCAUU
rnacentral:pre_miRNA from 1 species